rnacentral:lncRNA from 1 species
CUUAGCAUUUGGCUUUCCUGGGCGGCCUUGAAGAUGUCAGACCCAAGUCACAGUGUCAGCCAGAAGAGUAAUCUCUUGGAAGAGGAAGCAGAUGAAGAAAAUGUGAUUUUAACCCUGAUCCCAGUAACAGAGGAAUUCGAACAAGGAUUCAAUGAGGAAUCCAGCAUCUCAUCAACUGCAGAUUUCCAACAUGACAGUAUCACACCCAUGAGUUCCAGGAACAGCAAUGCAGUCCACCUUCCCCAAAUGAAUGAAGAGCUCAAAGCGUGCCCCAAACCUAAGUAUAGAGCACCAGCACCUCCCUUGCCGACCACUUUGCCCCCGGUAAACCAGGUGACCCGGGACACCUUGCGGAGCUGGUGCCAGCAGUUUAACCUGAGUACCGACGGCCAGGUGAGUGCCAGUGAGGAGCUGUUUGGGGCAAAAAUGGGAGACCUUUGUCAACUUGUAACUCCUUUCGCCCUUUCAAUCUCCUUAGAAAAUAGAAGUCUACCUGAGGCUCCAGAGGCACGCGUACCCCCAGCAGCAGUGUGACAUCCCUGGAACACUAGAAGAGACUAAAGUGCAGCUAAAUUUCAAGAAAGGCAAGACUGGUAGGAAAAGGCGUGUGAACCCUUUGGAUAGGCGCAAGAAAGAGGAGGAAGCCAAUGUAGUUGAAGUGGUGUCUUCAGCUCAGGAGUCCAUGUUGGCAUCCUGGGCCAGAAUAGCAGCGAAAGCCGGUCAGCCCAAAGCUGUGACUUCCUGUCCCAUUCCUAGUUCCGUGGAGGCCUUCUUGCAGCAAGCCUCUGGUAAGAUGAGCCUUCAGGUGAGAGUCCUAUUUCAGAGAAAUGAGGCUACUG